UUCACUUCUGGCCUAUUGACUAAGAUCAAGUGCAGUUUAGGUUCUUAUCAGUUUAAUAUCUGAUACUUCCCCUAUACGGACACCAUAUAGCACAUGGAUUUUUCAGUACGUGGGCCGAUGUGGAAGCUUGCUUUUGUUGACCCACUAUGGUGGUAUCUUCGGGUACAGUACACCAAAAGAUAU